GCAUGCUUAUUUUCACAGUGCAUAUAUUAAAACUGAAGAAAUACAGAGAAAACUGACAAUGUCCCUGGGCAAAGAUGAUUUAGAGACUCCUGAGGUGCUUACAGAAACC
rnacentral:snRNA from 1 species